GCCAGCCACAGUGGUGCACACCUAUAGUCCCAGCUUCUUAGGAGGCUGAGACAGGAGGAUCACUUGAGCCCAGAGUCCAGCCUGGGCAACAUAGCAAGACCCUGUCUCAU
rnacentral:sRNA from 1 species